rnacentral:rRNA from 1 species
AGGGAGCCUGAGAAACGGUUACCACAUCCAAGGAAG